rnacentral:rRNA from 2 species
AAAUUGAAGAGUUUGAUCAUGGCUCAGAUUGAACGCUGGCGGCAGGCCUAACACAUGCAAGUCGAACGGUAGCACAGAGAGCUUGCUCUCGGGUGACGAGUGGCGGACGGGUGAGUAAUGUCUGGGAAACUGCCUGAUGGAGGGGGAUAACUACUGGAAACGGUGGCUAAUACCGCAUAACGUCGCAAGACCAAAGAGGGGGACCUUCGGGCCUCUUGCCAUCAGAUGUGCCCAGAUGGGAUUAGCUUGUUGGUGAGGUAACGGCUCACCAAGGCGACGAUCCCUAGCUGGUCUGAGAGGAUGACCAGCCACACUGGAACUGAGACACGGUCCAGACUCCUACGGGAGGCAGCAGUGGGGAAUAUUGCACAAUGGGCGCAAGCCUGAUGCAGCCAUGCCGCGUGUAUGAAGAAGGCCUUCGGGUUGUAAAGUACUUUCAGCGGGGAGGAAG